CAAUAGCGUAUAUUAAAGUUGUUGCAGUUAAAAGCUCGUAGUUGGAUUUCUGGCAGGAGCGACCGGUCGCACGCUAUGCGUGUGAACUUGUGUUGUCUCUGGCCAUCCUUGGGGAGAUCCCGUUUGGCAUUAAGUUGUCGGGGCGGGGGAUACCCAUCGUUUACUGUGAAAAAUUAGAGUGUUUAAAGCAAGGCUUAUGCCGUUGAAUAUAUUAGCAUGGAAUAAUAAGAUAGGACUUUGAGUCUAUUUUGUUUGGUUUGCUGAGUCAAAGUAAUAGAUUAAUAGGGUACAGGUUGGGGGUAUUCGGUAUUUUCAUUGUCAUGAG
rnacentral:rRNA from 1 species